UGGGGAAUUUUGGACAAUGGGGGAAACCCUGAUCCAGCCAUCCCGCGUGUGCGAUGAGGGCCUUCGGGUUGUAAAGCACUUUUGGCAGGAAAGAAACGUCGCGGGUUAAUACCCCGCGAAACUGACGGUACCUGCAGAAUAAGCACCGGCUAACUACGUGCCAGCAGCCGCGGUAAUACGUAGGGUGCAAGCGUUAAUCGGAAUUACUGGGCGUAAAGCGUGCGCAGGCGGUUCGGAAAGAAAGAUGUGAAAUCCCAGAGCUUAACUUUGGAACUGCAUUUUUAACUACCGGGCUAGAGUGUGUCAGAGGGAGGUGGAAUUCCGCGUGUAGCAGUGAAAUGCGUAGAUAUGCGGAGGAACACCGAUGGCGAAGGCAGCCUCCUGGGAUAACACUGACGCUCAUGCACGAAAGCGUGGGGAGCAAACAGGAUUAGAUACCCUGGUAGUCCACGCCCUAAACGAUGUCAACUAGCUGUUGGGGCCUUCGGGCCUUGGUAGCGCAGCUAACGCGUGAAGUUGACCGCCUGGGGAGUACGGUCGCAAGAUUAAAACUCAAAGGAAUU
rnacentral:rRNA from 1 species